rnacentral:rRNA from 1 species
GACGAACGCUGGCGGCGUGCUUAACACAUGCAAGUCGAACGGAAAGGCCCUGCUUUUGUGGGGUGCUCGAGUGGCGAACGGGUGAGUAACACGUGAGUAACCUGCCCUUGACUUUGGGAUAACUUCAGGAAACUGGGGCUAAUACCGGAUAGGAGCUCCUGCUGCAUGGUGGGGGUUGGAAAGUUUCGGCGGUUGGGGAUGGACUCGCGGCUUAUCAGCUUGUUGGUGGGGUAGUGGCUUACCAAGGCUGUGACGGGUAGCCGGCCUGAGAGGGUGACCGGCCACCUUGGGCCUGAGAUACGGCCCAGACUCCUACGGGGGGCAGCGGUGGGGAAUAUUGCCCAAUGGGCGGAAGCCUGAUGCAGCAACGCCGCGUGCGGGAUGACGGCCUUCGGGUUGUAAACCGCUUUCGCCUGUGACGAAGCGUGAGUGACGGUAAUGGGUAAAGAAGCACCGGCUAACUACGUG